CCGAAACACGACCGUCCUGAUAAUUAACGCGCGCGCGAUCGUAAUUAACUUUGCUUCGGGAGUGAGUGUCGUGUGUGAGUACCAUAAAGCAGUGACGUGAGGAAAGCUGAGAGGAGAAGGAGGAGGAGGAAUCGUCGGGCAAUAAUGGAGCAACCGUAGGAUCGACGUAGUUCAACGUGGUGCUACAACUCCGCCGCUGCGCAUCGGACUGUAUCACCGCAGCUUGGUAGCUGACUGUGAGUAACUCUGCUCGUCGUGCAUCGGGUCGGUG
rnacentral:lncRNA from 13 species